UCCAGAGAUUUCCGAAUGGGGAAACCCAGCAUGAGUUAUGUCAUGUUAUCGAUAUGUGAAUACAUAGCAUAUCAGAAGGCACACCCGGAGAACUGAAACAUCUUAGUACCCGGAGGAAGAGAAAGAAAAUUCGAUUCCCUUAGUAGCGGCGAGCGAAAUGGGAAGAGCCCAAACCAACAAGCUUGCUUGUUGGGGUUGUAGGACACUCUAUACGGAGUUACAAAGGACGACAUUAGACGAAUCAUCUGGAAAGAUGAAUCAAAGAAGGUAAUAAUCCUGUAGUCGAAAAUGUUGUCUCUCUUGAGUGGAUCCUGAGUACGACGGAGCACGUGAAAUUCCGUCGGAAUCUGGGAGGACCAUCUCCUAAGGCUAAAUACUCUCUAGUGACCGAUAGUGAACCAGUACCGUGAGGGAAAGGUGAAAAGCACCCCGGAAGGGGAGUGAAAUAGAACCUGAAACCGUGUGCUUACAAGUAGUCAGAGCCCGUUAAUGGGUGAUGGCGUGCCUUUUGUAGAAUGAACCGGCGAGUUACGAUUUGAUGCAAGGUUAAGCAGUAAAUGUGGAGCCGUAGCGAAAGCGAGUCUGAAUAGGGCGUUUAGUAUUUGGUCGUAGACCCGAAACCAGGUGAUCUACCCUUGGUCAGGUUGAAGUUCAGGUAACACUGAAUGGAGGACCGAACCGACUUACGUUGAAAAGUGAGCGGAUGAACUGAGGGUAGCGGAGAAAUUCCAAUCGAACCUGGAGAUAGCUGGUUCUCUCCGAAAUAGCUUUAGGGCUAGCCUCAAGUGAUGAUUAUUGGAGGUAGAGCACUGUUUGGACGAGGGGCCCCUCUCGGGUUACCGAAUUCAGACAAACUCCGAAUGCCAAUUAAUUUAACUUGGGAGUCAGAACAUGGGUGAUAAGGUCCGUGUUCGAAAGGGAAACAGCCCAGACCACCAGCUAAGGUCCCAAAAUAUAUGUUAAGUGGAAAAGGAUGUGGCGUUGCCCAGACAACUAGGAUGUUGGCUUAGAAGCAGCCAUCAUUUAAAGAGUGCGUAAUAGCUCACUAGUCGAGUGACACUGCGCCGAAAAUGUACCGGGGCUAAACAUAUUACCGAAGCUGUGGAUUGUCCUUUGGACAAUGGUAGGAGAGCGUUCUAAGGGCGUUGAAGCAUGAUCGUAAGGACAUGUGGAGCGCUUAGAAGUGAGAAUGCCGGUGUGAGUAGCGAAAGACGGGUGAGAAUCCCGUCCACCGAUUGACUAAGGUUUCCAGAGGAAGGCUCG
rnacentral:rRNA from 1 species